GCGCCAGUAGCUCAAUUGGCAGAGCGGUGGGACGGUACCCCACGGUCCCGGGUUCAAGUCCCGGCUGUCGCU